AGCGAACGCUGGCGGCAGGCUUAACACAUGCAAGUCGAACGGGCACUUCGGUGUCAGUGGCAGACGGGUGAGUAACGCGUGGGAACAUACCUCUUGGUUCGGAACAACACAGGGAAACUUGUGCUAAUACCGGAUAAGCCCUUACGGGGAAAGAUUUAUCGCCGAGAGAUUGGCCCGCGUCUGAUUAGCUAGUUGGUGUGGUAAAAGCGCACCAAGGCGACGAUCAGUAGCUGGUCNGAGAGGAUGAUCAGCCACAUUGGGACUGAGACACGGCCCAAACUCCUACGGGAGGCAGCAGUGGGGAAUAUUGGACAAUGGGCGCAAGCCUGAUCCAGCCAUGCCGCGUGAGUGAUGAAGGCCCUAGGGUUGUAAAGCUCUUUUGUACGGGAAGAUAAUGACGGUACCGUAAGAAUAAGCCCCGGCUAACUUCGUGCCAGCAGCCGCCGUAAU
rnacentral:rRNA from 1 species